rnacentral:rRNA from 1 species
UACGGAGGGAGCAAGCGUUACUCGGAAUUAUUGGGCGUAAAGGGCGCGUAGGCGAUUCGAAAAGUCAACUGUGAAAGCCCAGGGCCUAACCCUGGAAGUGCAGCUGAUACUGUUGAAUUUGAGUUCCGGAGAGGAAGGCAGAAUUCCCGGUGUAGCGGUGAAAUGCGUAGAUAUCGGGAGGAAUACCGAUGGCGAAGGCAGGUCUCUGGGCUAUAACUGACGCUCAUGCACGAAAGCGUGGGGAGCAAACAGG